UCUUCCACAUCAGAAAAGAUUUUCUGGUUCAAGAAGCUUGUAGGAGGGGAAGUUGGUGCAAUUGGAGUAUAGAGGCUUGUGGUGAAUUCUGGCGGUUAGAUAUGGUAGUGUGGAGGUACAUGUCUAGGUAAGCUCUGGCUAGGAAAGACUUGGUAAUUAAGUGGUCACGACCCACCUCUCUUUCCUGGGAACUUACCUGGUGUACUGAUCACGAGCUACAGACGAGCAAGUGCUUUUCAUCCACGGAUAUUGGUCAGCGAUACGGUUACAAUGGGAAGACUCUCUUUCCUGGGAACUUACCUGGUGUGCUGUUCACGAGCUACAUAUGAGGUUCUAAGCAAGUGUUUUUCAUCCACGGAUAUUGGUCAGCGAUACGGUUACAAUGGGAAGCAUCAAGUUUGAUAUUGAGAAAUUUGAUGGAAGAAUCAAUUUUGGCUUGUGGCAAGUUCAAGUGAGGGGUAUAUUGAUUCAAUCAGGUCUACACAAGGCCCUGAAGGGAAAAC
rnacentral:lncRNA from 1 species